AACCUCUCCGACGAGGUAAAGACUAAGGGACAAGCGCGAGGCGGCACCGAAAACAGCAAGUGAGGAAGGCGAAUAAAGCCAGGCAGAAAUCAGCAUGAGAAGAUGAUCAAAAUUCAUAUAUUGAAACAUGAAAAGGUUAUUCAUUAAUGAUACAGUGAUGUCGGACAUCAAGAGACCUACAUUGCAGUCCAUGCUUGUAGGGUUGCUACAAUAUCUGUGAAACUUUCAUAGAAAAUUCAACUCUGCUAAUCAUUUAUUCACCAGUAAAAAUAGGGGUAUUGGGCUAGAAUAGAGGUGAACAAACUAUAGCCCAUAGGCUAAAUCCAGACCAUCACCUGAUUUUGUAUGGCCUACAAGUUAAGAAUGAUUUUUACAUCUUAAAAUGGUUUUACAUUUUUAAAUUGUUACAUUUUAAAUAUUAUGUAAGUACCCACACAAUAUCCUCAAUUUUGCCAUUUGGCCUGCAAUACCUAAAAUAUUUAAUAUUUGGCUUUUUAAAUAAAAGUUCACCAAUCCCUG